UGGGGAAUUUUGGACAAUGGGCGAAAGCCUGAUCCAGCAAUGCCGCGUGUGUGAAGAAGGCCUUCGGGUUGUAAAGCACUUUUGUCCGGAAAGAAAUCCUUGGCUCUAAUACAGUCGGGGGAUGACGGUACCGGAAGAAUAAGCACCGGCUAACUACGUGCCAGCAGCCGCGGUAAUACGUAGGGUGCAAGCGUUAAUCGGAAUUACUGGGCGUAAAGCGUGCGCAGGCGGUUUGCUAAGACCGAUGUGAAAUCCCCGGGCUCAACCUGGGAACUGCAUUGGUGACUGGCAGGCUAGAGUAUGGCAGAGGGGGGUAGAAUUCCACGUGUAGCAGUGAAAUGCGUAGAGAUGUGGAGGAAUACCGAUGGCGAAGGCAGCCCCCUGGGCCAAUACUGACGCUCAUGCACGAAAGCGUGGGGGAGCAAAACAGGAUUAGAUACCCCUGGUAGUCCACGCCCUAAACGAUGUCAACUAGUUGUUGGGGGAUUCAUUUCCUUAGUAACGUAGCUAACGCGUGAAGUUGACCGCCUGGGGAGUACGGUCGCAAGAUUAAAACUCAAAGGAAUUGACGGGGUCAUAGCUGUUUCCU
rnacentral:rRNA from 1 species